GAGUACGUGUAAAGGAGCUGUGUGAAGCGGUAUUCCAGGAUGUCAAAUUGGCAUUUGAGGUUCAGUUUAGUUUGGCCGUCCAUGUGAGUGAUUUCUCUAGCUCAAUCGACUGCGCGGUAUGAGUUUAGAGUUGUUCGAUGGAGGGCAGGGGGUCAAGCAGAUAUGGUGCUCAAUACGGAUGGGUGUUCUAAGGGAAACCCGGGUGCGAGUGGUGGAGGUGGCUUACUUAGAGACUCCGCUGGGCAGUUAUUGGUUGCUUUCUCGGCGUACCUGGGGGAGGCUACUAGUCUUCAUGCUGAAGUGCUGGCCAUGUUCAAGGGUGUUCAAGUGUGUUUAGGUAAGGGGCUUCUUCCCAGGAUAGUGCAAUCGGAUUCGAAGUUGUUAAUUGACAUACUCCAGCGGCGGUGCCUUUGUCCUUGGUCUGUUAGGAGAGAGGUGGAGCAAAUCUGGCACCUGGUGGAGGGGGUUCAGUUUGAGCAUUGUUAUAGAGAGGCGAAUAAGGUUGCUGAUAUAUUAUCCAAUGUAGGGGUCUCUCAUCCACAAGAGCAGCUUCGAGUUUACUCUGUUGAGCAGACUCUUCCCUCGGUGGCCCAGGGUGAAUGUCGUUUAAAUAGACUGGGGGUGCCUUCGGUUAGGCGUGUUAGGGUAGGACGUGCGUAGGCUGUUUGCCCGUUAGUCCAUGUAAUCGUCUUUCUGUUUGAAUAAAAAAGAAUAAGUAUUCUUCAAAAAAAAAAAAAUAGACCUUAAGUCAAAUAAAAUGGAUAAAUAACACAAUACUAAAAAUAAAUACAAUUGCCAAAAUUUCAAAAACAGGGGUACUACAAAUCUCAUUAUUUUAAGGAGCUUUUUAUUAUUUUAAUUUAUUUACACUAAUAUUAUUUCAUUUAUCAAAUUAGUCAAAUAAGUCCAAUAUUAGAUUCUUAAUCUAAAUUUGCUAAAAAUAUCUAGUAUGCCGUAUUUUUAAACUUCAAGAAAGAAAACAGAGAUUAAAUCAAUUUUAUUUUUAAAAAGAAAAGGCAAUAAUAGUAAACUGUAAAUAUAUAAACAAAAAAUGAAAAUAGUAUGAGCCCAAUCCCCAAUGUUCACAUAAACGAAAAUAAUAAAAAAUUAAACUUUUAAACAAAAAAGUUAGUAUUACCUACUUAAAGUAUGAUAAAUUGAACAAUCCAUACAUAAAAGUGAAUAAAAUUUUAAGGAUAUAAAAUAAAUAUAAACUUGUUUUUAGCUUUUAUGAUUAUUUCGGUUGUACAAUCACCAUAGAUUUUGAUGACUUUGUUAUACUUCCAAAAGUAGUAGUGACUUUUCAUGAUUAUUGAGGGUAUUUUGGUAAUAACAGAAUUGAAAUUUUAGUUUACGAAUAUACUUUUGCUUGAAAAACAAUUUCCACAAUUUUCUUGAAAAUAAAAUCUUGGAUUGAAGGAAAUUAUUUGGCCUUAGAUUUUUUUUAACCAUUUAUUUUAGAAACUAAAGAAGAACACUAAGAAUCUAUAGUUUCCCUUCCUAUAUUAAUUAGGCUAAAUUCUUAGAACAUCUUUAAAGAAUUUCCUACUCUAGUAUCUAUUUAGUGGUAUGCUGCAUUGCUUCAAUUAUAUACAUUAUAUUCUUUUGAACUCUGCAUCCAAUCAGGAAGUUAUCACUAUGGCUUUCUUCUAGGGUUGCUUCCAACUUAAUUCGAACUUAUAGUAGGCUUGUAUCAUUUCAGAAUAUUUUUAAAAAAAUUUGAAAGAAAAUUAGGACUUAUAUUUGGAAAAAGAAAGAAAAGGAAAGCACGCAAAGGUGCACAAAAUGUUCAACCGUACACGUAUUCUAAAUCCCACAGCAAAAUAAUUUUUGUAUUCCUAACUCUGCAAAAUUCUAUGCUGAACCCACUAAUUAAUUUUGGUUAGUCUGGUUUGUAGAGAAAUCCUAACUGGUGCAAUCAAAUCACCACAAUUUCUUUUGUUUAUGUCCCUUCAUUUAUUGAGUGUGACUCCACACUCAAUAUAAUUGUGUUAGUAAACAUCCUGCUAACUAAACCAUAGGUGUCCGUGGUUAAUUCGGUCGGAGCUAGAUACGUUAUUGGCAAGGCUUGAAAUGGACAGUGGGGCAUUGUUCUCACGAGGCAAAUUAGGUGGCAGAUGCUUUAGCCAAGGUGGGGGCAAGUCUGAGGAUAUUGUCAUGUAUACAUCAUAGUUGGAUUUACCAAGAUUGGCGAGGGGGGCCUUGAGUUUAGAUAGAUCACAGACCCCGUCAUGCGCAUUAGAGCUGUUCGCAAAUAAAGCCUUUUGUAAUUUAAAAAAAAGGGUUUAGAAUUAAAAUUCAGAAAUUCAUAUAUUUCUUUUCAGUGCUUAAAUUUCAGCAAAAAAAAAAAGUGUGUGACUCCACAAUUAUUUUUUUUGUCUUUUUUGAAAAAAGAGAGAGAGAGAGGGGGGGGGGGGUUAGCAAAAAUAUGAUGAUAUUAGAAAGCAUGUCAACCUAGAGUUUCCUACUCCAACCAUUCCCUUCCAAAAGAUAGAUUAUUCAUCUAUACAUCCAUAACGGACAAGAGGAAUUUAUUCUAAAACUUGCUUAGUAUUUCUUUAAAAAAAACCACACAAUAAAUUUUGAGUGUCUAAAACAAAUUAGCAUACUAACUCUAAAAAUUACUAUGGUAGGAACGUAAAACUUGAAAUCUCAAAAAACAGCAUUACGUUGAAAGGAAAAGUGUAAAAAACAAAGAAGCCAAUAGUGCUUGAUUUUUUUUCUUUUUUUUUUUUGAGCAAAACUGUGCAAUUUUAUAUAGAAGAUUAGCAAAAUUGACAAAGCCUUAGUAAUAUUAGAUGGAAAAAUUUAAGUAUUGAAAAAGCACAUUUAACAAUAAGCAAGUAAAAUAGAAUAUUUAUGGCAGUGGUAGUAACAAGUAUCUAUGCCUGAAAAAAAAAAAAAGUAUGUCUGCCUAAACAUUUCUCAGUGUUGAAUAAUUUUGUGCAGAGAGUACAGUGGUUUUUACCCUAUAAUUAAUUUAUUGGUACCCUAUAAUUAAUGAUGAUGCAAGAGAUUAUGGAUCGAUACAUUUAUGGAUUUAAAAGACGCAUUAGCUUGACCAUCAAAAUUUAUGAAUAAUAGAUCCAGAGUUUAGAAGUUUAAUUCAUGAUGCAUUAAUUAGUUGACAUAUGGAUCGUAUAUGUUGCCUUUUUCUAUAAUGUAAACGAUUCAUAUUGCACUGUCCUAUUUUCAGUGAUUUCUUAUCGGUUUCAAGAAAAUAAUACUCCAAACGAUUCAUAUGUACAAAAAAAAUUACCCAAACUAAUAUGAUAUAUCAAGAAUAACAGGAAGCAAAAUCCCAGCCCUGGAAGCCAGAUAUAUAUUUCAACCAAAAAUGUGUAUAAUAAAAAAAUAAAAGAAAAACAGCACUUACUUUGGAGAGAAUGAACACUCUGGCAAAAGCUGAUCCGUUGGAUUUGCAGAAGUUCCCUUUAUAAUGGUGAGGCUACGUUAAAAAAAAAACAUUAAGUUUAAGGAAAAAUAAAUAAAAUUCAGCUCUUACUUGAGAGAGAAAAAGAAAUCUCUGGGAAUAGCUGAUCCGAUGAAUAUGGGAAAAUUCCUAGUAUAACGUGAAGCUACUUACUCAAAGUAAAGUUUAAGAAAAAACUUACUUUUAAGUUUGAAGGAAAAAAAAUGAAAUUCUGCACUUACUUGAGAGAAAAAAAGAAACAUCUGGGAAUAGCUGAUCUGAUGUAUAUCGGAAAAUUCCCAAUAUUUCGCGAAGCUGCUUGGUUACUCAAAGUAAAGUUUAAGAAACAAUAUUCGGAGGAAGAUGAUAAUUUGAACCGAUGUAGAAACAAU
rnacentral:lncRNA from 1 species